UCCUGCCUCCCCUCUCCCGCUCGUUCACGUGCUCUCUCCUCCACGAAUCACCCUCCGGCCGAUUUCCCGUCAUCGUCGUGGCCGGUCGAGAGCAGCGCGGGCCUGGGCGCGAGGCAGCACGAGCGGGGCGUCGGCCUUGGCGCGAGCUGCGUGCAGCACGAGCGCGACGCCGGCCUUCGACGCGAGCCCCGUGUCCGGCACGAGCGGGACAGAAGAUUUGUGGAGGCGGCCGCCGGUCCUGCUGAUGGCAAAGAAGAGGAAGGGCGGGCUGUCUCUGCCAUGGAGGCGCUAUUGGAGGUGGUCAAGGAGGCUCCCACUUCAACGUCAUGGACUCCUUCAGCAGAUCCAGUGGUAUUCUGGUGUAAUAUAUAUUACAAAUUGCAGGAGGAAGAUGUAAAGGCAUCCAGGUUCAGGGGCCACCUGUGCCACACAGAUGUUGUUUCCUUCACAUAUUGACUAUCUAACUCCAAAUUAUUAAAUAGGUAACUCAGAAUGUACUAGAACACUUCUGAGUUAGAAGAACUGAGGUUCUAUAUAAUUUUGAGGAGUAUGUUGUAGAUGUUGGCUUAGGACCCAAACCCACUGAUGGUCUUCUGUGCUGCCACGACCUCCUUUCUAUGUCUCAGCGGAAGUUGUGUGGGUAGCCACUCGAACCGGCCUUUUUAUCUUCCCUGGUUGGUGGCUAUGGGUAUAGAUACAUGGAGCUCUGGACAUCGAGGCUAUUUAGUGACUAGAUACAUGAGGCGACAACGAGGCUUGCCAUGUCCAGGUCAAUAAGGAGCACGGUAUGUUCAUUCUGAUGGCAAAAGAGAUGGAUCCCUGAUUUAUUAAACUAAAUGUGUGUACUCUUUUAUAGAUUAAGAGUUGCAACUAUAAAAUCUGGUGGGCUUCUAUUUCUCCGUUGAUGGAUCUACAUGUUGACAUGCCCUUUGCCUGGUUGACCUGCUUCGCCUUGUGCGUCCUACUGCGGAAUCAUUUUCACUCUGGUUCAUCAUACUCAUGGAGGAGGUCAGCCAGCGAUGCGGCUCAUGGUCUUCGUACUCGCCUUCCCAUGCCAUUAAGGUGUGGUUCUGCUAUCAGAAAGACCGUACAGGCCGGUUAUUUUGUAUGUUCAAGUGUUGCUCAUGGUUCAGGUAAAACACCAUUUCUCCACCUUUGUGUCCGCUGCCCUUGUUUCUGGUAAGAGUGCAUCAGUGCGCAAUAGAUUAGUUCAGAGCGUGUGGCACCAUAUUUGUUUCGGUUGUAUUCAUGAUUGAUCAGUGGUUGGUUCAUUGCUGCAUGUUCGAAUUUUAUGCUAAAAUAUUAAAGCAUGGGUCUUCUUAUAUGAUAGUUUUACCAGUAACUUUUCCUUGCUUCAGUUAUGUGCAAUAUGUAUCUUAUUUUGAUGUACAUUCUUAAACGGAAAAAUCAC